UGGAUUAACAACAACAUUCUGAUAAAAUACGUCAAUGAGAAAUUCAGAAAGCAGUUAAAAGGUUCCUACAUCCCAGACACCACUCCUGCUCUCACCUUGUUGGUUGGCCGUUCUUUCAGGAAUUCUCUGUUGUACUCUCCAUUGCAGUGUAUGGUACUAUAUAAUAAUGGACAGAUAGAUCACUGUGCUACUGUACACAAACAUCAGACUAAAGAAGAGAUCUCAACAUGAAUGACUAUUUUGCCUAAAUUUAUACUCACAGACUUGGAGUAAGAUGGAGAUACAACAAACAUAUAACUACAUAUGGAAUAAUUUCCACUAAGGCCAAAAAGUUGGAUAAACAGAGCCUCUCCAAAAGACAAAAGGACAACACUAAAACAGAAGAAGAAAAAGGAGGAGGAACAGAAAGAAGAAACCUGCCCUAUUGGCCUCCAUAAGGAAGGGAAAAUGUGAAGCUGCAAUGUUUUCUCUCUAGUCUCCUGUACUUGGUUUGAAAACAGGAGCGCUUUUUAAUUCUAGUGUUCUUCCUCAAAGUGGAUAUGAUGGGAAGAGAUGAGUUGUGAGUAUCCUCAUGACUUCAUCAUUGUUUGCCAACAAGAUUCUCAUCACAGUGCAGUUGAAAAAGAUCAGAGACAACCUGAACAUCAACCAGUGACUGCAGUGACACUGACAACAGCUGCUAUAUAAGCUGGGUGAAUAAUUUGGACUUCAGACAAGAGGCUGGAAGAACAUAUCCCUGCUCGACAGUUGGACACAGUGGUGAAGUUCAAGGACCUUAGAUCUGCCCUGUCCUACAAACAGAACUAGAUAGCUAUCAAAUCAUCCUAACCUCCCCAGAAAUUGACAUGAACACCAGUAGAACAAACUCUACAACUAAAGGAGAAAAGAGGCCACAUCU